UGAAAGAAUUGAGAAGAGCGAAGGAUGAUGGUGUGCAAGAGUUUGGUUAUGGUUCUCAUAUUUGUCUCUCUCUUUGGUCUUCACCAAUGUGAAGAUAUUGAUCAUCCGAAGGGAAUAGAAAGAUGUUAUAGGAGAUAUAUGGGAAGGCCAUUGACAAUACAGUAUUUGUGUUGUAUAGAAGCUCCUCGGAUUUGCUUCACACCCCUCACUCCAGAACAAUGCCUCACGAAGUGUCCGCCACUGCGAAAAGGAGCACCGCCCUCUUCGUCGCCGGGGAAAGGAGUAGGGCCGUCCCCACAGCCUUCUCUAUAGAUGUUCAUUGGUUGCUGAUGUGGCGUUUCCUGUGGUUUAGUUAAUGGGUCCUGAGUUUGAGAAUUGUAGUAACAACAAAAAAUAAAAUAAAAAACGAGAUUGUUUCUCUCUU